AUUUGCACAGCCCGCUUUGUGAUAUCCAAGAAUCUGCAUUAAAAAAUAUCAGACACAGAAUUCAUUUAUCACUAUUACAACAGUGACAAAUGAUGAACAUGCAUUCAGCUGCACAUCCAUCUCAACUCCACGCCAAACCUCAAAAUCAGGCCAAUCUUUUAAUAGGUUAAAGCACGCACUUUAUUACAAGACACUUAUGGGCAAUAGUCACAUUAUGCACUUUGUGUCCAACAAAAAGGGGAAAUUGAAGCAUUCUGUUCCACAAAACACUUGAGGGAGGCUUUAAUAGAUAACCUUAGACAGAUGACAAUUGAGCAGUCCUUAAUAGACAAUAACCUUACACAUGCGUACUAAGCACACACCGGAGGCAACCACCUUCAUGCAUCAGAUCAAAUGCCUUGUUGAUCUCCCCAAGAGUCAAAUUAUGGGUGAUGUACUCAUCCACCUUAAUUUCCUUUUUCAUGUAUUUGUCUACAAGCCAAGGCACCUGUGAACGGCUCUUGAAACCACCAAAAGCAGUUCCUUUCCAAACACGGCCAGUCACCAACUGGAAAGGACGAGUGGAUAUCUCCUGACCUGAUGCUGCAACACCAACAAUAACCGAGGUCCCCCAGCCCUUGUGACAACAUUCCAAAGCAGACCUCAUCACAGAAACAUUGCCAAUACACUCAAAACUGUAGUCAACACCACCAUCUGUGAGAUCAAUGAUGACUUGCUGGAUUGGUUUAUCAUGGUCCUUUGGAUUCACAAAUUCAGUUACUCCGAAAUUCUUUGCUGUAUCAAACUUCUUGCUGUCAAUAUCUAUUCCAAUUAUUCGUGAAGCACCAGCUGCUUUUGCUCCCUCAGCAACUGCAAGACCAACCGUUCCAAGGCCAAAGAUAGCAACAAUAGACCCAGCUUCUACUUUUGCAGCGUUCCAAACUGCCCCAAGGCCAGUAGGAACACCACAGCCAAGAAGACAAACUUUCUCCAAAGGAGCUUGGGGAUCAAUCUUCGCAACACUAACAUCAUGCACAACUGUGUACUGGCUGAAUGUUGAGGUUCCCAUGAAAUGGUAAAUAGGCUUUCCAUUUAUAGAGAACCGACUCUUACGAUCAUUCAUCAUGAUUCCAACACCUGUAGCUGCACGAACCUUGCCACAAAGAUUUGUCUUCCCUGAUCUGCAAAAUUUGCAUUCUCUGCAUUCUGCCUGGUAACAAGGGAUGACAUGAUCACCCGGCUGAACCUCAGUCACGCCUUCACCAACACUUUCUACAAUCCCAGCAGCCUCAUGACCAAGGAUACAAGGGAAAAGGCCCUCGGGAUCCUUUCCACUCCAAGUGUAAGCGUCGGUAUGGCAAAGAGCAGUGAAGAGAAUCUGGACUCGGACCUCACCGGCCUGAGGCGGAGCUACCUGCACAUCCUCUAUGACCAAUGGCUUAGUCGGCUCCCACGCAACAGCAGCUUUGCAGGUGAUAACCUGACCCUGAGUAGCCAUGGAUGAGAU
rnacentral:misc_RNA from 1 species